UACGUAGGGUGCAAGCGUUAAUCGGAAUUACUGGGCGUAAAGCGUGCGCAGGCGGUUCGGAAAGAAAGAUGUGAAAUCCCAGAGCUUAACUUUGGAACUGCAUUUUUAACUACCGGGCUAGAGUGUGUCAGAGGGAGGUGGAAUUCCGCGUGUAGCAGUGAAAUGCGUAGAGAUCAGGCGGAACACCCGUAGCGAAGGCGGCCAGCUGGGCCGACCCUGACACUGAGGCGCGAAGGCGUGGGGAGCGAUCCGG
rnacentral:rRNA from 1 species